AGAGUUUGAUUCUGGCUCAGAACGAACGCUGGCGGCAGGCCUAACACAUGCAAGUCGAGCGCGCCCUUCGGGGUGAGCGGCGGACGGGUUAGUAACGCGUGGGAACGUACCCUUUGGUAGGGAAUAGCCACUGGAAACGGUGAGUAAUACCCUAUGAGCCCUUCGGGGGAAAGAUUUAUCGCCAAAGGAUCGGCCCGCGUUAGAUUAGGUAGUUGGUGGGGUAAUGGCCUACCAAGCCUACGAUCUAUAGCUGGUUUUAGAGGAUGAUCAGCAACACUGGGACUGAGACACGGCCCAGACUCCUACGGGAGGCAGCAGUGGGGAAUCUUGGACAAUGGGGGCAACCCUGAAUCCAGCCAUGCCGCGUGAGUGAAGAAGGCCUUAGGGUCGUAAAGCUCUUUCGCCUGUGAAGAUAAUGACGGUAGCAGGUAAAGAAACCCCGGCUAACUCCGUGCCAGCCGCCGC
rnacentral:rRNA from 1 species